rnacentral:rRNA from 1 species
UACGUAGGGAGCAAGCGUUGUUCGGAUUUACUGGGCGUAAAGGGCGCGUAGGCGGCAAAUUAAGUCAGCUGUGAAAUCUCCGAGCUUAACUCGGAACGGUCAGCUGAUACUGCUUUGCUAGAGUGCAGAAAGGGCAAUCGGAAUUCUUGGUGUAGCGGUGAAAUGCGUAGAUAUCAAGAGGAACACCUGAGGCGAAGGCGGGUUGCUAGGCUGACACUGACGCUGAGGCGCGAAAGCCAGGGGAGCAAACGGG